ACGCAAUAGAUACCCUGGUAGUCCACGCCCUAAACGAUGUCUACUAGUUGUUGGGAGAGUAAAAUCUCUUAGUAAACGCAGCUAAACGCGUGAAGUAGACCGCCUGGGGAGUACGGUCGCAAGAUUAAAACUCAAAGGAAUUGACGGGGGCCCGCACAAGCGGUGGAUUAUGUGGAUUAAAUUCGAUGCAACGCGAAAAACCUUACCUGGCCUUGACAUGCUACUAACGAAGCAGAGAUGCAUUAGGUGCCCGAAAGGGAAAGUAGACACAGGUGCUGCAUGGCCGUCGUCAGCUCGUGUCGUGAGAUGUUGGGUUAAGUCCCGCAACGAGCGCAACCCUUGCCAAUAAUUGCCAUCAUUUAGUUGGGCAC
rnacentral:rRNA from 1 species